GCUGGAGAUGUGAACCUAGGAAUUAUCACCUUUUAGAUGAGUAUAAAGCUGUGAAACAGGAUGAACUCUAGGAGGUGUAGUGAGAGAAAGGAGCUGAGGAGAGUCCAAUGUAUCUGGAAUCUCACACUCUUGAAGAUGCUCUGGGAAAUGGGGAUGGUUCUCCAUUUGGGUGGAAUGGUGGAUUCACAUUCUUGAGAGCAGGGCCCCUGUCUUAAUCAUUUUGGUGACCCCUCUGGGUUUUGCAUAAGCCCUGGUGUCUGGUGCCGUCUCUGUAGCAGGAAGAGUCUCAACAAAGGCUUCGCCUGAGAACCUGAAGGAACACAGCCAACUCCAGGCUGAGUUGCAGCCAGAAACCAGAACUCCUGCUUCUUUACGUUCCAGAGAUGACUUUGUUCCUAUCCAAUUCCCAGCCUGAUCCUCUGGCCUUCUUGCUAAGCAGAUCCCUAAUUUUCAUACCCACAGAGAAGUGAAUGACUCAGGUCCAGCUUUCUGGAGUGAAGGUAGUAGAAAGGAAGGCAUCUGAAGAUAUCAAGCGAGGAAUUGGAGCAUCAGCAGCCAUCUUGUGACCAGGAGAUAACAUACGAGAGGAAGAAUAGCUAAUACCCUGGUAAUGGCGAAGCCAAGAGUGCUUAGUGAUGCUGAGCCAUUUAACCAGUCCUAGGACUUCAUGCUAAGCAUUGGGAAUUUAACAGUGGAUAAAACAGACAUGGUUCCUGACUCUGUGGAAUUUACUACAUUCUUUCCUGGGAUAAAGAAAGACAUCAAGCAAGAAAUGACAAGUCUGAUAUAUGUGAGGAAAUGCAAAGUAUGGGAUGCUUCAGAAUAAAAUAGUGAGUUGAUAAUAUAAAUGUUC